rnacentral:rRNA from 1 species
GACGAACGCUGGCGGCGUGCUUAACACAUGCAAGUCGUGCGGUAAGGCCCUUUCUGGGGUACACGCGCGGCGAACGGGUGGGUAACACGUGAGCAACCUGCCCUUCACUUUGGGAUAACUGCCGGAAACGGUGGCGAAUACCGGAUAUGACUUCCGCACGCAUGUGGGGUGGUGGAAAGCCUUCGGGUGGUGGGGGAUGGGCCCGCGGCUUACCAGCUUGUGGGUGGGGUGUGGGCCUACCAAGGCUUCGCCGGGUAGCCGGCCGGGGAGGUGGACCGGCCCCACUGGGCUUGGGACACGGCCCGGACUCCUCCGGGAGGCAGCGGUGGGGAUUAUUGGCCAAUGGGCGAAGGCCUGUUCCAGCACCGCCGCGUGGGGGUUGACGGCCUUCGGUUGGUAACCCUCUUUCGCCUGCGCCGAGGCGAGAGUGACGGUAGCAGGUAAAGAAGCACCGGCCAACUACGUG